CACCUCUCAAAGACCACUUAUUCAUUCUACAAGCAACAUCGUCUCAAGAAAAACCUUUACCAACCACUCAUCAAGAUUAUGGCUUCCUACACCUCACCAUCAAAAAUCCCCAAAAUACACCACCCUGAGACUGAAUCAAUUCAUGACCGCCUCCAACUGAUUGCUUACAAAUGCCAAGAUCCAUCUGUCAACCCCAUCGAAACUGCACAACAACUUUGCAAUCUAGGCACUGAAAUCAUGAAAAUCAUGUCACGCUGGCACAACCAAAACAAGGCUCUUCAGCAGUGUGUCACUACACUUCGUUCAGAGCUGCAGGACACAAAAAAAAAAACUCUCAGAAGCUCUAACUUCUGCAGAAAUCAAUGCUGCUGCCCAAUACUUUUUCAAAGAUGAACAAUGUGACAUGUCCACACAGACAGAGCCUGUCCCUUCAACACUACCUGAACACAUACCUGAGAAUAACAGCAAACUAGAAAUACAACUUGCAACAAAGUCUUCUCCAAAACCAAAUAAAGAUCUACAGAAUGCUUAACCAUACAAACAUUAUAUUGUGACUACACUUUUAAUGCUACACUGUAUUUAACUUUUGAAACUACAAAAUUUUUAUCCUUCCAUUUACUCUUAAACCACAUUAUUUUCUUUUAGCUCUUCUUUAUUAAACUUUUUAACAUACAAUACAGCAUACUAUAUGCAUAUUGCACCUUUAUAAUUUAUAAUUGUUUGUAUUCUUAUUCUUUGUAUUUUAUACAAUAAAAAUGUUUCUCAGACUUACAAUUUUCAUUAAAAUACAAAAAUAUAACAAUCUUCACUACCACAAAACAAUUAUAUUACUUAACCUGCCUUCGUAACACAGGUCAACUAUUUAUUAUGCAACAAAUCUACUCUUAUCAAUAAAAUGUCAUGGUAAAACAUUGAGAUUUUUCAAUUGCCAGAGCAUUAAAGGAAUUUUCACUGAUGUUAACAUCACUAUUAAUAUAAAUAAUAAAAAUACAACACAAUAAUUAUCUUAUGUUUAAAGCAUAAUGCUAAACAAAAGUUUCAAUAAAUAACAAAUUGUUCUACAUAAACAUUCUUAGAAUGCCAUACUUUAGCUAACAUUUCAAGUUGAAAUACCAAAACUGCCCACUGGUCACAUUAAAGGAUUAUUUUUAUAAUAUAAAUUUAUAUAUACUUUACUGAAACUACAAUAUUAUUAAAUAAUUUCACAAAUGCAUCAAGAAAAUUAAGAUCAUUUCAAUUUUACCAACACGUACAAUAAGGUUUCCAUUCUUUUAGAUUAUAAUUAAUACAUUACCUAACUUUACCUAAGAAUGAACAUUUCUUUAUUUCUUUAUUUUUUUCCAGUAUUUAUUUGUGUUAUUAAUUACAAAUAUUCAUGUCAGUUUAUGCUACAUUAACUAAUGUAGUUCAACUAUCCUUUACAAAUUCUAAUAUAAUAAAAACAUAACAAUACAACCAAAAUAUUAAUAAUCAUGUAGCUAUACUGAUCAUGUUCACUAAUAUUAGCAACUACAACCUUUAUAUAAUAUGUUAAAACAUUUUCUAUAUUCUGUGUGUAUGUGUAUUUGUGUGUGUAAGAGAAAUGAGCAAAAAUCUGUUUUUAAUAUUUGACUUCACUGCAAACUGCAAUAUUUAUUUAUAUUUAUAUAUUUUUUGACAUUACUUAAUACAUUCAUAAAUUGAACUAACAAUACAAAUUAUAUAAUAUACUAUAUUUUUUUUGUUCUGGCAGCGAUGUAUAUUUUGUACAUACAAAAUGUGAAUUAAUGCAUACUCCUCAAAGGGGAAGUACACCAAACUUUGUCUACAUGAUGCUAAAACAUUGAGGAACUUAAAUUGCUAAUGGAUUUUGGAUAGCUUGAACAGUUUGCCGUGGUAAUUUUUUGAAAAAAAAAAAACAGUAAAAACAGAAACAUUCAUUGUCUUGUAUUUUUAAAUUGCAGCUUACAAACAUUCCAAAACCAUUUUUCAUUUAAAAAACAAGAGAUUCUGAGGAAAUAUGCAUAGUUUUACAACUUUACAGCACUGUCUGAUUAAAAGAAAAUUAAAAAAACUGUCAGACAUCUGAUCUCACUCUGUCACUCUGUGAGAGAAAGUAUUUGUGCUGACUGAGUGUGUGUGUCUGUGUGUGAGUGGGGGAUUGGCAUGAGCUGAGUGGCAGAAAGACAGCAAGAGAGAGGAGAGA